GACAACGCUGGCGGCGUGCCUAACACAUGCAAGUCGAACGGAGAUAUGAUUUCGGUUGUAUCUUAGUGGCGAACGGGUGAGUAACGCGUGAGCAACCUGACCUUCAGAGGGGGAUAACACCUGGAAACAAGUGCUAAUACCGCAUAAGACCACGACCCGACAUCGGGACGAGGUCAAAGGAGCAAUCCGCUGAGGGAGGGGCUCGCGUCCCAUUAGAUAGAUGGCGGGGUAACGGCCCACCAUGUCGACGAUGGGUAGCCGAGCUGAGAGGCUGAUCGGCCACACUGGAACUGAGACACGGUCCAGACUCCUACGGGAGGCAGCAGUGGGGAAUAUUGGGCAAUGGGCGAAAGCCUGACCCAGCAACGCCGCGUGAGGGAAGAAGGCCUUCGGGUUGUAAACCUCUGUCCUAGGUGACGAAAAAAAUGACGGUAGCCAAGGAGGAAGCCCCGGCUAACUACGUG
rnacentral:rRNA from 1 species